AGCUUUGCGCAGUGGCAGUAUCGUAGCCAAUGAGGUUUAUCCGAGGCGCGAUUAUUGCUAAUUGAAAAAACACGGGAACAGUCAUAUGCUAUGAUGUAUUAUCUGUAUACUCCUGCAUAUGAGACAAAAGAGCUAAAGAGCC